CCUACGGGAGGCAGCAGUGAGGAAUAUUGGUCAAUGGACGAGAGUCUGAACCAGCCAAGUAGCGUGAAGGAUGACUGCCCUAUGGGUUGUAAACUUCUUUUAUAUGGGAAUAAAAUGUUCCACGUGUGGGAUUUUGUAUGUACCAUAUGAAUAAGGAUCGGCUAACUCCGUGCCAGCAGCCGCGGUAAUACGGAGGAUCCGAGCGUUAUCCGGAUUUAUUGGGUUUAAAGGGAGCGUAGGUGGAUUGUUAAGUCAGUUGUGAAAGUUUGCGGCUCAAACGUAAAAUUGCAGUUGAAACUGGCAGUCUUGAGUACAGUAGAGGUGGGCGGAAUUCGUGGUGUAGCGGUGAAAUGCUUAGAUAUCACGAAGAACUCCGAUUGCGAAGGCAGUUCACUGGACUGCAACUGACACUGAGGCUCGAAAGUGUGGGUAUCAAACAGGAUUAGAUACCCGUGUAGUU
rnacentral:rRNA from 1 species